UCGAACGGUAACGCGGAGAGAAGCUUGCUUCUCUCCGGCGACGAGUGGCGAACGGGUGAGUAAUACAUCGGAACGUGUCCGCUCGUGGGGGACAACCAGCCGAAAGGUUGGCUAAUACCGCAUGAGUUCUACGGAAGAAAGAGGGGGACCCGCAAGGGCCUCUCGCGAGCGGAGCGGCCGAUGACUGAUUAGCCGGUUGGUGAGGUAACGGCUUACCAAAGCAACGAUCAGUAGCUGGUCUGAGAGGACGACCAGCCACACUGGGACUGAGACACGGCCCAGACUCCUACGGGAGGCAGCAGUGGGGAAUUUUGGACAAUGGGCGCAAGCCUGAUCCAGCUAUUCCGCGUGUGGGAUGAAGGCCCUCGGGUUGUAAACCACUUUUGUAGAGAACGAAAAGACACCUUCGAAUAAAGGGUGUUGCUGACGGUACUCUAAGAAUAAGCACCGGCUAACUACGUGCCAGCAGCCGCGGUAAUACGUAGGGUGCGAGCGUUAAUCGGAAUUACUGGGCGUAAAGGGUGCGCAGGCGGUUGAGUAAGACAGAUGUGAAAUCCCCGAGCUUAACUCGGGAAUGGCAUAUGUGACUGCUCGACUAGAGUGUGUCAGAGGGAGGUGGAAUUCCACGUGUAGCAGUGAAAUGCGUAGAUAUUAGGAGGAACACC
rnacentral:rRNA from 1 species